rnacentral:rRNA from 1 species
AACGAACGCUGGCGGCAGGCCUAACACAUGCAAGUCGAGCGAGACCUUCGGGUCUAGCGGCGGACGGGUGAGUAACGCGUGGGAACGUGCCCUUCUCUACGGAAUAGUCCCGGGAAACUGGGUUUAAUACCGUAUACGCCCUUCGGGGGAAAGAUUUAUCGGAGAAGGAUCGGCCCGCGUUAGAUUAGGUAGUUGGUGGGGUAAUGGCCUACCAAGCCUACGAUCUAUAGCUGGUUUUAGAGGAUGAUCAGCCACACUGGGACUGAGACACGGCCCAGACUCCUACGGGAGGCAGCAGUGGGGAAUCUUAGACAAUGGGCGCAAGCCUGAUCUAGCCAUGCCGCGUGAGUGAUGAAGGCCUUAGGGUCGUAAAGCUCUUUCGCUGGGGAAGAUAAUGACGGUACCCAGUAAAGAAACCCCGGCUAACUCCGUGCCAGCCGCCGCCGUAACAC